rnacentral:rRNA from 1 species
GACGAACGCUGGCGGCGUGCUUAACACAUGCAAGUCGAACGGAAAGACCCGGCUUUUGUGGGGUGCUCGAGUGGCGAACGGGUGAGUAACACGUGAGUAACCUGCACUUAACUUUGGGAUAACUUCAGGAAACUGGGGCUAAUACCGGAUAGGAGCUCCUGCUGCACGGUGGGGGUUGGAAAGUUUCGGCGGUUGGGGAUGGAAUCGCGGCUUAUCAGCUUGUUGGUGGGGUAGUGGCUUACCAAGGCUUUGACGGGUAGCCGGCCUGAGAGGGUGACCGGCGACAAUGCGCCUGAGAUACGGCCCAGACUCCUACGGGAGGCAGCAGUGGGGAAUAUUGCACAAUGGGCUGAAGCCUGAUGCAGAAACGCCGCGUGCGGGAUGCCGGCCUUCGGGGUGUAAACCGCUGUCGCCUGUGACGAAGCGUGAGUGACGGUAAUGGGUAAAGAAGCACCGGCUAACUACGUG